CUGCUUCUGUUCACUGAGGACCAGACUAAAGACAACGAUGAGGGGCCAGCUCAUGACCCUUUUCAUGAGAAAGUGGCACAGCUCUGGGGACAAGUGCACAGAAGCAUAAUGGUGAUGGGGUAGAUGCAAGGUCAGUGGGAAGCAAAGAGCCAGAGACGGCAUGUGGAUGGUAAGCCCAAGGUGGCAGAGUAGGCAUGUGAUGGUAAGCCCACGGUGCAGACAGGACGGCCCACUCAGCAAGCAGCAGCAAGACUAUGAAACAGAUGAAACAAAAACCAAAACCCCAAAACCCCAGAAGACGGAACACCAACCCUAGGACUCCACAACACUAGACUCAUAAACCUUACUCUAGUGCUAAGCACAGUCUUUGUAACAAAAGAUACAAAACAGGUGAGAAAAUGUCUGACUUUAGAGGGUCAGAGCAUAGUCCUAGUGUAAGCCAAGGAGCCCUGAAGGCAUAUGAAUGAUGGGUAUGAGCAUGUCUACAAAAAGAUGAAA
rnacentral:lncRNA from 1 species